AUUUUAUUAUUAUUUAUGAUAAUACCUGCAUAGGUGGGGCCAGAGGAGGGAGAUGUGAGGGGCCCGCGGUGCUGCAGCUGGACCCUUUUGAACAGUGUUGUAAAACUAGCUAGCAAACAUUACCAUAGCUGUUUGUCACUCUGUGUAUUUGAUUUGAUUAUCUAGCUAACGUUAGCCAACAACGCUAGGCUGGGUUAUUUUGCUUUCAAACUAACAAACUCGUAAAAUUAUUGUGUCUUAUAGGAUUGCUGACAAUGUUUCUUGUUUCUCGCACCGGAGGCUGUCCCACUAGUGGUCACAGAUUCCCCCUUUGAGCUCGGUGGUGACACAGUGCAGGAACCCCUGCGCAGGAUGAGACAGAAAAGAUGAAGCCUCUACUGUAUAUCUUCAGCUUUGGCUGCGAGGGAAAGAUAACUGCACAAAGGCGAAGAUAUACAGAGUCCCCCGAUUCUGACAUGGACAUGGCUUUGCAAUAACCGGCCAUCAAUCUUUCUCUCUGCAGCCCCUCAGUCCACCAACACAGUCCCCCCAGGUGGCAUCUGCUUGACUCACUGCAGCCACUCGCCCGCCUUUCCUCCUUUGCUAAAUCUCCUCAGUAGCGUAUUGUACUUUAUACAGUAAUGGCUGUACUGUGGAAAGUGUGGAGGGAUAUGUUGUUGUCCAUUAAAUAUUCAACACUCUGCCUCUACAGCCAGUUUGGCAGACUUUUGGAAACAAGCAGAGCUGCUCAUAUAUAUGCCAGCCUUUUCUGAGGGUGCCCCGUAAACAGCCACUCGAGACGCCACACCAGAUCCUUAAAUUACCACACUUACUACCACACAUGUAAUUUUGACACUGAACCCCAGACCUGGGAAAUAUGAUAAAAAACAUCACAUUUGAUGUUUACAUGCAGAAGUCCUGACACUCUUAUUUUGUACAGUCUCACUUCAAGAUGUUUAAGUGAACUGAGAAAUAUAAUCACUCACUUUUCCAGCAGUAAACUGUGACCUACCAGUCACAAAUCUUCUUCUGUGCGCCAUUUGAAAGAUUUGUUCAGGCUCAGUGGGUUCAGGUUCAGCUUGACACAAAAAGAGUCUAUCUUAAAAAACUAGGACCAUAUAAACAGUUCUACAAAGAAUGAAAAAGGUUAAGUUAUAAAGGACGACCAAUAAAAGGUAUCCUCUGCUA